rnacentral:lncRNA from 1 species
ACAAUUGUUCUUUCUAGAGAGUGUGAAUCUCGAGUUCUUAGUUUAUAUCUCUCUAGAUUAGAAAAACAUGCAUUAGAGUGGUGGGAUGAAAGGCAAUAUUGGGUUCAUAAAGGUAGAAAAUCCACCAUUGAAAAUUGGUAUGAAUUGAGAUCAUGCAUGAGAAGAAAGUUUGUGCCUCCAAAUAUUCAAAGUAACUUAGAACAUAUGAGAGAGCUUAUUAGAGAAGGCAAGUCAUUCAUUCAAAAUUUAAGUGGAUUCAAUCGUCGGGAAAUAGAUUUUAGAGAAAAACUCAUGAAGUUCUUGAAUAAGGGAAGUAAAAGGAGAUUUGAGAGAGAACAUAGGCAAUUACAAGAAAGAAUAGAGAGACAAGAGAGAAAAAAAGAGCGAAAACGAGAAGAAGAAAGACAAAGAGAAAGAGAGAGAAAGAGAGAACAAGAGGAAGAAAAAGUGAGAAGAGAAGAAGAAGAAAGAGAUAGAAAAGAAGAGGAAGAAAGAGAGAGAAGAGUACAAGAAAGAAGAGAAGAAGAGAAAAUAAGAGAGAAAGAAAGAAAGGAAGAGGAAGAGAAGGAAGAACUUGAAAAGAAAGACAUGGAAGAAAAGAAGAAAGAACUGACAACAUCCCCUAUUCUCACAAUAGAACACAAAUUUUUAAGGGUAGGUUUUCUAUCUUUUCACUUUCCAAUUGUUAUUGAAUGCUUUAAUUCUACCUUUUCUUUCCAAGAAUUUGCCAUCAAACCUUUU